rnacentral:rRNA from 1 species
AAUGGAUUAAGAAGCUUGCUCUUAUGAAGUUAGCGGCGGACGGGUGAGUAACACGUGGGUAACCUGCCCAUAAGACUGGGAUAACUCCGGGAAACCGGGGCUAAUACCGGAUAACAUUUUGAACCGCAUGGUUCGAAAUUGAAAGGCGGCUUCGGCUGUCACUUAUGGAUGGACCCGCGUCGCAUUAGCUAGUUGGUGAGGUAACGGCUCACCAAGGCAACGAUGCGUAGCCGACCUGAGAGGGUGAUCGGCCACACUGGGACUGAGACACGGCCCAGACUCCUACGGGAGGCAGCAGUAGGGAAUCUUCCGCAAUGGACGAAAGUCUGACGGAGCAACGCCGCGUGAGUGAUGAAGGCUUUCGGGUCGUAAAACUCUGUUGUUAGGGAAGAACAAGUGCUAGUUGAAUAAGCUGGCACCUUGACGGUACCUAACCAGAAAGCCACGGCUAACUACGUGCCAGCAGCCGCGGUAAUACGUAGGUGGCAAGCGUUAUCCGGAAUUAUUGGGCGUAAAGCGCGCGCAGGUGGUUUCUUAAGUCUGAUGUGAAAGCCCACGGCUCAACCGUGGAGGGUCAUUGGAAACUGGGAGACUUGAGUGCAGAAGAGGAAAGUGGAAUUCCAUGUGUAGCGGUGAAAUGCGUAGAGAUAUGGGAGGAACACCAGUGGCGAAGGCGACUUUCUGGUCUGUAACUGACACU